rnacentral:rRNA from 1 species
UUAAGCGACUAAGCGUACACGGUGGAUGCCUAGGCAGUCAGAGGCGAUGAAGGGCGUGCUAAUCUGCGAAAAGCGUCGGUAAGCUGAUAUGAAGCGUUAUAACCGACGAUACCCGAAUGGGGAAACCCAGUGCAAUACGUUGCACUAUCGUUAGAUGAAUACAUAGUCUAACGAGGCGAACCGGGGGAACUGAAACAUCUAAGUACCCCGAGGAAAAGAAAUCAACCGAGAUUCCCCCAGUAGCGGCGAGCGAACGGGGAGGAGCCCAGAGUCUGAAUCAGUUUGUGUGUUAGUGGAAGCGUCUGGAAAGUCGCACGGUACAGGGUGAUAGUCCCGUACACCAAAAUGCACAGGCUGUGAACUCGAUGAGUAGGGCGGGACACGUGACAUCCUGUCUGAAUAUGGGGGGACCAUCCUCCAAGGCUAAAUACUCCUGACUGACCGAUAGUGAACCAGUACCGUGAGGGAAAGGCGAAAAGAACCCCGGCGAGGGGAGUGAAAUAGAACCUGAAACCGUGUACGUACAAGCAGUGGGAGCACCUUCGUGGUGUGACUGCGUACCUUUUGUAUAAUGGGUCAGCGACUUAUAUUUUGUAGCAAGGUUAACCGAAUAGGGGAGCCGUAGGGAAACCGAGUCUUAACUGGGCGUCUAGUUGCAAGGUAUAGACCCGAAACCCGGUGAUCUAGCCAUGGGCAGGUUGAAGGUUGGGUAACACUAACUGGAGGACCGAACCGACUAAUGUUGAAAAAUUAGCGGAUGACUUGUGGCUGGGGGUGAAAGGCCAAUCAAACCGGGAGAUAGCUGGUUCUCCCCGAAAGCUAUUUAGGUAGCGCCUCGUGAACUCAUCUUCGGGGGUAGAGCACUGUUUCGGCUAGGGGGCCAUCCCGGCUUACCAAACCGAUGCAAACUCCGAAUACCGAAGAAUGUUAUCACGGGAGACACACGGCGGGUGCUAACGUCCGUCGUGAAGAGGGAAACAACCCAGACCGCCAGCUAAGGUCCCAAAGUCAUGGUUAAGUGGGAAACGAUGUGGGAAGGCACAGACAGCCAGGAUGUUGGCUUAGAAGCAGCCAUCAUUUAAAGAAAGCGUAAUAGCUCACUGGUCGAGUCGGCCUGCGCGGAAGAUGUAACGGGGCUAAACCAUGCACCGAAGCUGCGGCAGCGACACUUAGGUGUUGUUGGGUAGGGGAGCGUUCUGUAAGCCGUUGAAGGUGACCUGUGAGGGUUGCUGGAGGUAUCAGAAGUGCGAAUGCUGACAUAAGUAACGAUAAUGCGGGUGAAAAACCCGCACGCCGGAAGACCAAGGGUUCCUGUCCAACGUUAAUCGGGGCAGGGUGAGUCGACCCCUAAGGCGAGGCUGAAAAGCGUAGUCGAUGGGAAACAGGUUAAUAUUCCUGUACUUGGUGUUACUGCGAAGGGGGGACGGAGAAGGCUAGGCUGGCCGGGCGACGGUUGUCCCGGUUUAAGCGUGUAGGGGGAGUGACCAGGUAAAUCCGGUUGCUUAUCAACCCUGAGGCGUGAUGACGAUGCACCACGGUGCAGAAGCAGUUGAUGCCAUGCUUCCAGGAAAAGCCUCUAAGCAUCAGGUAACAUUAAAUCGUACCCCAAACCGACACAGGUGGUCAGGUAGAGAAUACUCAGGCGCUUGAGAGAACUCGGGUGAAGGAACUAGGCAAAAUGGUGCCGUAACUUCGGGAGAAGGCACGCUGGCGUUAGGUGAAAGGACUAGCUCCUGGAGCUGAAGCCAGUCGCAGAUACCAGCUGGCUGCAACUGUUUAAUAAAAACACAGCACUGUGCAAACACGAAAGUGGACGUAUACGGUGUGACGCCUGCCCGGUGCUGGAAGGUUAAUUGAUGGGGUCAGCCGCAAGGCGAAGCUCUUGAUCGAAGCCCCAGUAAACGGCGGCCGUAACUAUAACGGUCCUAAGGUAGCGAAAUUCCUUGUCGGGUAAGUUCCGACCUGCACGAAUGGCGUAAUGAUGGCCAGGCUGUCUCCACCCGAGACUCAGUGAAAUUGAACUCGCUGUGAAGAUGCAGUGUACCCGCGGCAAGACGGAAAGACCCCGUGAACCUUUACUAUAGCUUGACACUGAACAUUGAGCCUUGAUGUGUAGGAUAGGUGGGAGGCCUUGAAGUGUGGACGCCAGUCUGCAUGGAGCCAACCUUGAAAUACCACCCUUUAAUGUUUGAUGUUCUAACUCGGCCCCAUGAUCUGGGGUGAGGACAGUGUCUGGUGGGUAGUUUGACUGGGGCGGUCUCCUCCCAAAGAGUAACGGAGGAGCACGAAGGUUAGCUAAUCACGGUCGGACAUCGUGAGGUUAGUGCAAAGGCAUAAGCUAGCUUGACUGCGAGAGUGACGGCUCGAGCAGGUACGAAAGUAGGUCUUAGUGAUCCGGUGGUUCUGAAUGGAAGGGCCAUCGCUCAACGGAUAAAAGGUACUCCGGGGAUAACAGGCUGAUACCGCCCAAGAGUUCAUAUCGACGGCGGUGUUUGGCACCUCGAUGUCGGCUCAUCACAUCCUGGGGCUGAAGUAGGUCCCAAGGGUAUGGCUGUUCGCCAUUUAAAGUGGUACGCGAGCUGGGUUUAGAACGUCGUGAGACAGUUCGGUCCCUAUCUGCCGUGGGCGUUGGAAGAUUGAGAGGGGCUGCUCCUAGUACGAGAGGACCGGAGUGGACGAAUCACUGGUGUUCGGGUUGUCAUGCCAAUGGCAUUGCCCGGUAGCUAAAUUCGGAAGAGAUAACCGCUGAAAGCAUCUAAGCGGGAAACUUGCCUCGAGAUGAGUCUUCCCUGGGGCUUAAAGUCCCCUGAAGGAACGUUAAAGACUAUGACGUUGAUAGGCUGGGUGUGUAAGUGCAGCGAUGUAUUGAGCUAACCAGUACUAAUGAUCCGUGAGGCUUAACCUU